AUACAGAGGCCAAGAGCGUUGUUCGGAUUUACUGGGCGUAAAGGGCGCGUAGGCGGUCUUGCGUGUCAAGUGUGAAAUCUCCGGGCCCAACCCGGAAAGUGCGCUUGAAACUACAGGACUCGAGUCUGGGAGAGGGAAUCGGAAUGCAGGGUGUAGCGGUGAAAUGCGUUGAUAUCCUGCAGAACACCGGAGGCGAAGGCGGAUUCCUUGAACAGCACUGACGCUGAGGCGCGAAAGUCGGGGGAGCAAACAGGAUUAGAUACCCUGGUAGUCCCGACCUUAAACGGUGCACACUCGGGGUGGGGCCAUUUCACCGGCCCCGUCCCUUAGCUAACGCGUUAAGUGUGCCGCCUGGGGAGUACGGCCGCAAGGCUAAAACUCAAAUGAAUUGACGGGG
rnacentral:rRNA from 1 species